rnacentral:tRNA from 3 species
GGCCGGGUGGCAGAGUGGUCAUGCAGGGGACUGCAAAUCCCCGUACAGCGGUUCGAUUCCGCUCUCGGCCUCCA